ACACUCUAAAAACUGUACCUCUGAUUUCAGAGGCACAGGCUAAAUGUACCGUGUAUUUUCUCGCGUAAGAGGCACAUAACUAAUGUGCCUUUAAAAAUGAGAGGCACCACAACAAAUUGAAGGCACCAAAGCAAACGCCAGUCAAUGCGCGGUACAAAAAGACAUUCGUGCCUCUCAAAUUCGCUUCAUUUCUUUUUCUUCGGUACGAUCAUGUAACGGAGAACAAGCGCAUGCGCACAUCAGUGAAAAAUUUUAUGACGAAAUACGUUUUCUGUCCCCUCUCAUCCACGCUACCGAUGGAAGAAGUUUUCCUACAAAUAUGUUCUAUUGAUGUUAUAAAAAUGCUUGAAUUUGCCGAGCUGAAUGCAUGAUAAAACACUUACAUGGAGAGGAAAACCACUAAGCCUGCUACAGUUAGUCUGGCGUCCAGGGGACUCAAACCCAUGAUCCAACUACCUCUGAGGGUAUUUUACAUCAGCACUGUGGUCAAUGCUAAACUAUAAAUAAUGUGGAUGCUGUGGGAAGGAUUUGAUCAGGCCUCCUCUGCAAAUGCUUUGCCCAUGUACCUCCCCCGGCAAAGUGUUUAACUUGAGCAUUUUUUCUUCCGGAUACAACCUUUAAAUGUCCGUUGCUAUUUCUCCGAAUUAUUGUGAUUCUGUAUUAAUAACUAGUGAAAACUAAAAGAAAGAAAAAUGUGUGUCAUUUGAUUUUUUUCAAAAUUUGGAAAAUGUUUUAAUAAAAGUUCUCUGCGAAACAUGUGGACUUUUUUUUAUAAGAGUCUGCAUUAAACGAAUCUUACCAUCUCCAAGUAAAAUUGACUUACAGUUGUUCCACUCUGUAAAGCAAAUUUAUCUAUAUGUUAUCACCUUUUACUAUGAUAUUUUAUUUUCUCAUUAUAGUGCUAAUUUUUUUUAAUUUUGUUUUAUUUUAAACUAUAAUUUUUGUAAAUUUGGUUUAGGCUAUUCUCACUGGUUAAAUUACUCAUUGUAUUAAGUAUGUUUACCAUUAUAAUUUUGCUUCCGGUGUUGUGUUUUCUUUUUUUACCAGCACUUUUUCUUUAUUGACCUUUAAUUAUGAUAUUACUAUAUAUAUAUACAUAGCCUAUACUAAGUAUUUCAAAUUAUUUGCCAGAUUUUAAAAUUCUUAGCCAAAGGAAAAUGUUAGAAAUUUUUUAUGAUAGAUUUUUUCUGUAGGAAACUUUUAAACAUAAUACAAAUUUAUUAUAAAUUAAUUAUUUUAUAAAAAUGCAAAUAGAAAUUUAGAGUCAUUUUGCUGUUGGGGAGGAGUAAACGUGCAAUGAAUGGGGGAGAGAUUGAAAAAUGCAGAUGUUUUAUCGUGUUUGAGGGGAGGAAAUAAACAUAGAUUGAGGUUUAUUUUUGGCAACGUAUUAGAUUAGUGUAGUAAUAUAAAGAUAAACCUGAAACGACGCUAUGUUCUGCGUUAUUAAAUUAGUGCAUAUAUUAUUGUCAUGAAAAAAUAUUUUUUCUGCUAAAAUAAUCUGCAUCUUGUUUUUCGUUUGAAAACAGCUUUCGCCAAUACUUUCCCUCAAAAGGGAACAAGGUCUUUUUUCUUCAAUUGUAAACUAGCCAUUGUACAUUUUCUCUAUGGGCUAGUUUUAUUUAGUACAUUAGAUUGUUGUAAUCAAGUUUAAGUUAAAAUAAUUUUUAUUUUAAUAAUAUUUAUAAAACAAAUGCAUGUUUAAUGAUUGGGGAUAAAAAUGCGGAAUUUCACGAUUUUUAAAAUACUAUAAAAAAUAAAAAUUCUGAAACAAGCUUUCAAAAAAAAUUGCAAAAUUCUUUUCAUAUAUUCAGAGCUCAAAUAAAAUUGUCAAUUAAGUAAUAUUAAGUACAGUUAGUUCUAAAAAAAUUGAAAGCUAAUGUUCCCAAAAUGGGAAUGAUGGCGCCUAAUGGGUUAAUAUGCUUCGCCAAAAUCAGGCUUU